GACGAACGCUGGCGGCGUGCUUAACACAUGCAAGUCGAACGGUGAAAGCGGAGCUUGCUCCGCUGGAUCAGUGGCGAACGGGUGAGUAACACGUGGGCAACCUGCCCCUGACUUCGGGAUAACUCCUCGAAAGAGGUGCUAAUACCGGAUACGAAUCCUGCAGGCAUCUGCGGGAUUGGAAAGUUUUUCGGUCAGGGAUGGGCCCGCGGCCUAUCAGCUUGUUGGUGAGGUAGUGGCUCACCAAGGCGACGACGGGUAGCCGGCCUGAGAGGGCGACCCGCCACACCGGGGAUUAGAAACGGCCCGGACUCCUGACGGGGGCCGCAGGGGGGGAUAAUGGGCAAUGGGCGAAAGCCUGACGCAGCAACGCCGCGUGAGGGAUGACGGCCUUCGGGUUGUAAACCUCUUUCAGCAGGGAAGAAGCGAAAGUGACGGUACCUGCAGAAGAAGCACCGACUAACUACGUGCCAGCCGCCGCCGUAA
rnacentral:rRNA from 1 species